rnacentral:rRNA from 2 species
ACGGGAGGCAGCAGUGGGGAAUUUUGCGCAAUGGGCGAAAGCCUGACGCAGCAACGCCGCGUGCGGGAUGGAGGCCUUCGGGUUGUAAACCGCUUUCAGCAGGGAAGAACACUGACGGUACCUGCAGAAGAAGCCCCGGCUAACUACGUGCCAGCAGCCGCGGUAAUACGUAGGGGGCGAGCGUUAUCCGGAUUCAUUGGGCGUAAAGCGCGCGUAGGCGGCCGCCUAAGCGGGACCUCUAAUCCUGGGGCUCAACCUCAGGCCGGGUUCCGAACUGGGCGGCUCGAGUUCGGUAGAGGAGGAUGGAAUUCCCGGUGUAGCGGUGGAAUGCGCAGAUAUCGGGAGGAACACCGAUGGCGAAGGCAGUCCUCUGGGCCGCAACUGACGCUGAGGCGCGAAAGCUGGGGGAGCGAACAGGAUUAGAUACCCUGGUA